rnacentral:rRNA from 1 species
UACGUAGGGUGCGAGCGUUAAUCGGAAUUACUGGGCGUAAAGGGUGCGCAGGUGGUUUGCUAAGCGCGAUGUGAAAUCCCCGAGCUUAACUUGGGAAUGGCAUAGCGAACUGGUGAACUAGAGUGUAGCAGAGGGAGGUGGAAUUCCACGUGUAGCGGUGGAAUGCGUAGAGAUGUGGAGGAACACCGAUGGCGAAGGCAGCCUCCUGGGCUAACACUGACACUCAAGCACGAAAGCGUGGGGAGCAAACAGG